rnacentral:lncRNA from 1 species
CCUUCAAUUGGGAGGAUACUUCUUAUCUCAUUUCUAGGGGCCCAUCCGGGAUUUCUCCACAGCAGUGAGUAAUAUUGGACCCCUUUCACUUGCUAUUCUGUUCUAUCUUCUCGCUAACAACUGGAGGAAAACACUGGGCAACUGUGGGCCACUUAAAAGCGACAAGCAUGGCUGCCAGAUUUAAGACACGGGUGUGAGGCUUUCCAGGAAAGGGCUCUCUAACAACCCCCAGCCCUCUGGGCUGGAAGCAUUGGUGUGCCUGGAGCCAGUUCCACCUUUCCUGGGAAAAGCUGAGGGCUGGCUAGAGGCGGAAAACUAUUGUCCCGAACUCCUGGCACUGACCCAGUCGAGAUCAUGGCACAGCGAGAAGCCUCUACUCUGCAGACACCCAUGCAUGCAUUCUCUGCCUUCUCUGCUGAUCAAAAUUGUGAGAAGUUGUCUGGAAGUAAGCAACUAAAGCUAAGAUGAACUCUGCUGAGACCUACUUGCUACAAAACAUUUGCCCUUAUAAAAAUCGAGGGCUGCACAAAAGAAGAGCCUUUUUUGUGUGUCACUGCUUCUGCCUUUCUGUUUUAGAGGCUCUUGUUUUAGGAUGCCAGCACUGGUAGUCUUUGCAAUCAAAGGACGCACAAAGAAGGCUUCUUAGUGUCUAGACCUUGUUGACAACUGAAGUCAGCUCUACAGGCUUCCUCGAUUUAUUUUUACACAUCACAAGUAAAUGCCUUUGCUGUGCAAGCUGUCAGUGUGCAUAAGUGUUCAUUUCUGUGUGUGUUUGUGUGUGUGUGAGAGGGAGAGAGACAGAGAGAGAGUGAGUUUCUAGCUUGCAUCCUAAUAAACUAUCUGAUGUAGAUGAGGUUGUCUCAAGCUGAGCUUUCACUCUCUGUCCACCACUGCUGUUUGCCACUGCCGCAGACACGCGCUGACUUCCAUCCCUUCGGAUCCGGCAGGGUGUCCUCUGUGCUGCGUCCCAUUACCGUCUUGGUAGCUCAAAUAGUUACCCUGACACUAGUAUUUGGUCUUGGAAAACUCACCUAAGUAGUUCCUUAGAUUGUGUGUUUCAAUACACUUAGUUCUAACAUGGAAAUAUGAAGAUCAGCUCCAAAUAUUUUUUUCCCAUGAAAACCAUAUGAUAUGUUUAAAUGCUCCAGGACAUACUGUGUAUUCUUAGAAUGGACCAUAUCUAAAUGAAAUAGAGACUUGGUCUCUAUCAGAAUCCAUACUAAUGUGUAGGUAUGUACAAUAUCAGUAAUAAAUAUUUGGGAAUAGUAAUGGAUUUACAUGGAGUUAACAAUCUAGAAAAACAGUUUUUUAGUUACAAAGAUAUUUAGAAAAUAUAACUUUCCAAUGUCAUUCUUAAUAAUAUUAAGAGUUCCAUGCUUAUAAAUAUUGUUCUGUAUUAUCAUCAACUGACAUAGUUUACAUACGUGUCUCUGUUCAAAUCUCAUGCUGAAAUGUAAUCCCCAGUGUCGGAGGUGGGGUCUAGCGGGAGGUGAUUGGAUCAUGGGGGUGGUUUCUCAUGAAUGGGCUAGCACCAUCCCCUGGGUGACGUCCUCGUGAUAGUGAGUCCUUGAGAGAUCUGGUUGUUUAAAAGUAUGUGGCACCUCCCUGCUUGCUGUCUUGCUGCUGCUUUUACCGUGUGAUAUGAAAGCUCCGGUUUGGCCUCCCAUCAUGAAUGUAAGCUUCCAGAGGCCUCUCAGAAGCAGAUGUCAAUGUAAUAUCCAGGUCUUUUAAAUUCUUAGAUAACAUCUAAGUAAGUCUUUUAUAUAUCUGUUGCAGUAGUUAAAGGAACUUAAACAGGAGUAUAAUAAGAUAACUACAAAAGGAGGAUAUUAUAAACUCCAGGAGAAAAGUUUUAAUUAAAUAAGAAAGAAUCUUCCUGGACCAGCUGUUUAAAAUAUAUACAUAUUCAUAAUAUGCAAUAUUGAUGACUGGUUUAAUACAAAAUAGUAAUAGAAUAAUAUCAGUAGAAUAAGGAAAGAAAGUGGAGGGAGAAUAUUAAACAAGUAACUCUUCAUUUACUAUUAAUAUUAUAGUAAGUAAUGGAUAAUGCUAAUUGUUAUUACGAUGAAAUAAUAAUUGCCAGGGACAGUGGCUCACGCCUUUAAUCCUAGCACUUUGGAAGGCUGAGGCAGGUGGAUCAUUUGAGGUCAGGAGUUUGAAACCAGCCUGGCCAACGUGGGGAAACCUGUCUGUACUAAAAAUACAAAAAAUUAGCCAGGCGUAGUGGCAGGCACCUGUAAUCACAGCUACUUGGGAGGCUGAGGCAGGAAUUCCAGCCUGGGCUACAGAGCAAGACUCUGUCUCGGUUUGCUCACUGUUUAAAUUAAUUUUCAUAAAUUAUAAAAUACUGUUAAAAUGAGUGAAUUAGAAUAAAGAUAAAUAUUUUCACAAACUGUACACCUCCAUGUAACCAGAAUCUGAAUAAAUAUAAGUAAGAAUAACCAACAGUCAAGAGGCCCUCCCAUUCUCCCCUCAUCAGAGUAAUCACUAUCAUUUAUCUAACACCAUAAGUUUAUCUUGCUAGUUGUUGAAUUUUAUACAAAUGGAAUCCUAUAGUAUAUAUUGUGUCAAAUCAUAAAUGCAUGCUUUUCUGCACUGUCAUUUGCACACUCAACACUACAUAUUUUGAUUUUUUUUCUUAUGGGUUUUCAUAUACUUACAAUGAGGCUGUAUCAUUUUGAUUAUAAAAUCACUAAAUACUCUUUCAAAUAAAAUCUCUACCUCAUUGGCAUAUUGUCAUGUACCCAGUGCCUAUCUAAUGAAUCCAAGUGUGUUCCAGUUGUGACUUUCAAAUUUUUCUGCUCAGCCACAGCUUUCUCACAGGUGCUUCAUGGUAGGCCAAGUGAAUGAAUUGUGGAAGACAAAUGCAUAGGUAUAGUAUGAUCCCAACACGCUGCACAAUGAUCAUCCACUGAUUUCUUGGCUUGUUUUUUAAAAUAGAUUCCAUUUUGAGAAUACUGAGAUGAUUCAGUAUAUUCAGAAAUACAACUUGGGCAAACCUUCUUGCCAGACCUUGAUCCUGGAGGUUUGCUUAAGGAUUUUGAAAUAAAAUCUGAAUGAGACGAGAGGAAGGUUAAAAAAAAAAAAAAAGAUAUUGUUACCUUAAAAUGGAAAUAAAAAAUUAUGUUUGUGCAUGUGUGUGUAUAUUAGAAACAAUAAACUGAUAUGAUAACAUAACAUGUAUGCAUAUA